GGAUGCGAUCAUACCAGCACUAAAGCACCGGAUCCCAUCAGAACUCCGAAGUUAAGCGUGCUUGGGCGAGAGUAGUACUAGGAUGGGUGACCUCCUAGGAAGUCCUCGUGUUGCAUUCCC
rnacentral:rRNA from 1 species